rnacentral:piRNA from 1 species
UNGACUUUUCCAUAUCACCACCUAUGUGCCUC